CCUGAGAAACGGCUACCACAUCCAAGGNAAGGCAGCAGGCNCGCAAAUUACCCAAUCCUGACACAGGGNAGGUAGUGACAAUAUAUAACGAUGCAGGGCCCUUACGGGUCUUGUAAUUGGAAUGAGUACAAUUUAAAUACCUUAACGAGGAACAAUUGGAGGGCAAGUCUGGUGCCAGCAGCCGCGGUAAUUCCAGCUCCAAGAGCGUAUAUUAAAGUUGUUGCAGUUAAAAAGCUCGUAGUUGAACUUUGGGCUUGGCUGGCCGGUCCGUUUUUUAACGAGUACUGGUUUUCAGCCGAGCCUUUCCUCCUGGUUUCUGUGUAGUUGGGCUUGUCUCAGCUGCAUAUGAUCCAGGACUAUUACUUUGAAAAAAUUAGAGUGUUCAAAGCAGGCGUUUAGCUCGAAUAUAUUAGCAUGGAAUAAUGAAAUAGGACGUAUGGUUCUAUUUUGUUGGUUUCUAGGACCAUCGUAAUGAUUAAUAGGGACGGUCGGGGGCAUCAGUAUUCAAUUGUCAGAGGUGAAAUUCUUGGAUUUAUUGAAGACUAACUACUGCGAAAGCAUUUGCCAAGGACGUUUUCAUUAAUCAAGAACGAAAGCUAGGGGAUCGAAGAUGAUCAGAUACCGUCGNAGUCUUAACCAUAAACUAUGCCGACUAGGGAUCGGGUGUUGUUCUUUUACUGACUCACUCGGCACCUUACGAGAAAUCAAAGUUUUUGGGUUCUGGGGGGAGUAUGGUCGCAAGGCUGAAACUUAAAG
rnacentral:rRNA from 1 species